UACAGAGGGUGCGAACGUUGCUCGGAAUUACUGGGCGUAAAGCGCGUGUAGGCGGGUCGGCAAGUCAGGCGUGAAAGCCCCCCGGCUCAACUGGGGGAGGGUCAUUCGAUACUGAUCGACUCGAAGGCAGGAGAGGGAAGUGGAAUUCCCGGUGUAGUGGUGAAAUGCGCAGAUAAUCAGGAGGAACACCGAUGGCGAAGGCAGGUCUCUGGGCCGAUACUG
rnacentral:rRNA from 1 species